UUCCAGCGCCAGCUUGGAUUCAAGGAGAUUCAAAACCCAUGUCACUGCUGCCAUCUUCCUAGAAUCCCCUUAAAUCCUCAUGGAUUUGCUGACAAUGGCAGCAUCCUGAAAGCAUCGCUAUGCUAGGGUGGCUGCAGUAACAGGUUCUCCCCACUCCAAAAAAAAUCAAAUCAGAUUGUGAAUUUAUUCCCUGACAUUAACACGUGGCAUUACAGGAGCAUGUACAUCACAUGGUCAAUUUAUUGGCAUGAGGAUUAUGUCAUCAAGGAAUAAAUGGGAAAUUCUCAAGGUA
rnacentral:lncRNA from 1 species